rnacentral:rRNA from 1 species
UUUUAUAUUUUUUUUUUUUUCGUAGAUGAACGCCGGCGGUGUGCCUAAUACAUGCAAGUCGUACGCACUGGCCCAACUGAUUGAUGGUGCUUGCACCUGAUUGACGAUGGAUCACCAGUGAGUGGCGGACGGGUGAGUAACACGUAGGUAACCUGCCCCGGAGCGGGGGAUAACAUUUGGAAACAGAUGCUAAUACCGCAUAACAACAAAAGCCACAUGGCUUUUGUUUGAAAGAUGGCUUUGGCUAUCACUCUGGGAUGGACCUGCGGUGCAUUAGCUAGUUGGUAAGGUAACGGCUUACCAAGGCGAUGAUGCAUAGCCGAGUUGAGAGACUGAUCGGCCACAAUGGAACUGAGACACGGUCCAUACUCCUACGGGAGGCAGCAGUAGGGAAUCUUCCACAAUGGGCGCAAGCCUGAUGGAGCAACACCGCGUGAGUGAAGAAGGGUUUCGGCUCGUAAAGCUCUGUUGUUGGAGAAGAACGUGCGUGAGAGUAACUGUUCACGCAGUGACGGUAUCCAACCAGAAAGUCACGGCUAACUACGUGCCAGCAGCCGCGGUAAUACGUAGGUGGCAAGCGUUAUCCGGAUUUAUUGGGCGUAAAGCGAGCGCAGGCGGUUGCUUAGGUCUGAUGUGAAAGCCUUCGGCUUAACCGAAGAAGUGCAUCGGAAACCGGGCGACUUGAGUGCAGAAGAGGACAGUGGAACUCCAUGUGUAGCGGUGGAAUGCGUAGAUAUAUGGAAGAACACCAGUGGCGAAGGCGGCUGUCUGGUCUGCAACUGACGCUGAGGCUCGAAAGCAUGGGUAGCGAACAGGAUUAGAUACCCUGGUAGUCCAUGCCGUAAACGAUGAGCAGGG